CGGGGUGUGGCUCAGUUUGGUAGAGCGCUGCGUUCGGGACGCAGAGGCCACAGGUUCGAAUCCUGCCACUCCGACCA
rnacentral:tRNA from 1 species